GACGAACGCUGGCGGCGUGCCUAAUACAUGCAAGUCGAGCGCAGGAAACUGACGGAACUCUUCGGAGGGAAGGCAGUGGAAUGAGCGGCGGACGGGUGAGUAACACGUAAGGAACCUGCCUCAAGGAUUGGGAUAACUCCGAGAAAUCGGAGCUAAUACCGGAUAGUUCAACGGACCGCAUGGUCCGCUGAUGAAAGGCGCUUCGGCGUCACCUUGAGAUGGCCUUGCGGUGCAUUAGCUAGUUGGUGGGGUAACGGCCCACCAAGGCGACGAUGAAUAGCCGACCUGAGAGGGUGAUCGGCCACACUGGGACUGAGACACGGCCCAGACUCCUACGGGAGGCAGCAGUAGGGAAUCUUCCACAAUGGACGAAAGUAUGAUGGAGCAACGCCGCGUGAGUGAUGAAGGUUUUCGGAUCGUAAAACUCUGUUGUAAGGGAAGAACACGUACGAGAGGGAAUGCUCGUACCUUGACGGUACCUUACGAGAAAGCCACGGCUAACUACGUGCCAGCCGCCGCCGUAAGAC
rnacentral:rRNA from 1 species